rnacentral:lncRNA from 1 species
GGUCAGUGUGUUUCUUCUAGGCUGAGAUGCUCAGGCUGUACUCUGAGGUUUGGGGACUUUUGGUCUGAUGGUCCUGGUACUUCAGGCUGCUAAGAACAUUCAGAAAUUACGCUCUGGGGUCAGUCCCAGGAAAACUAGUUUUUACUAAACAAAUAGCUUUUCUCUUAAAGAUAUGAUAAAUCAUGCUAUUAAUUUUUUUCUUAGUUUUAAUUAAUUGCUAAGAAGCAUAGAGCCACAUUUGUAGAACAGCAGCAUUUCUGAUUCUCUUUUCUGUUCCCUGCUCUUAUUUCUUCACUUCCUUUGUCUUUCUAAAUCUUCUUUAUUUUGUAAGCAGUAUAAAGUAUUCCUGGAACAUGGCCCAGAAAGCAAAUAAUUACAAUAGUCAUGGCAAAAUACAAUGGGGCAGAUUUUGGCAAGUUACAUGAUAGAUUUAGUCUGAUCCUU